rnacentral:rRNA from 1 species
AUUGAACGCUGGCGGCAUGCCUUACACAUGCAAGUCGAACGGUAACAGGUCUUCGGAUGCUGACGAGUGGCGAACGGGUGAGUAAUACAUCGGAACGUGCCCGAUCGUGGGGGAUAACGAGGCGAAAGCUUUGCUAAUACCGCAUACGAUCUACGGAUGAAAGCGGGGGAUCUUCGGACCUCGCGCGGACGGAGCGGCCGAUGGCAGAUUAGGUAGUUGGUGGGAUAAAAGCUUACCAAGCCGACGAUCUGUAGCUGGUCUGAGAGGAUGAUCAGCCACACUGGGACUGAGACACGGCCCAGACUCCUACGGGAGGCAGCAGUGGGGAAUUUUGGACAAUGGGCGAAAGCCUGAUCCAGCCAUGCCGCGUGAAGGAUGAAGGCCUUCGGGUUGUAAACUGCUUUUGUACGGAACGAAAAGCCUCUUUCUAAUAAAGAGGGGUCAUGACGGUACCGUAAGAAUAAGCACCGGCUAACUACGUG